rnacentral:rRNA from 1 species
UACGGGGGGGGCAAGCGUUGUUCGGAAUUACUGGGCGUAAAGGGCUCGUAGGCGGCCAACUAAGUCAGACGUGAAAUCCCCGGGCUCAACCUGGGAAUUGCAUUUGUGACUGCACGGCUAGAGUGUGUCAGAGGGGGGGUAGAAUUCCACGUGUAGCAGUGAAAUGCGUAGAGAUGUGGAGGAAUACCGAUGGCGAAGGCAGCCCCCCUGGGAUAACACUGACGCUCAUGCACGAAAGCGUGGGGGAGCAAACAGG